rnacentral:lncRNA from 1 species
GAUACACCCGCCUCGGCCUCCCAAAGUGCUGGGAUUACAGGCCUGAGCCAUGGUACCCUGCCAGAAAAAAGUAACGUAAUACCAUGAUGUUGAAAAAGGAAAGAAGGGAAUAAAUAUAAUUAUAAAGGUUUUUUAGUCAGAAGGAAUUUGGAAUCUAUUUCUUUUGACAUGCCUCAGCCAGACAUCCUCAAGGGAACUAAAGUCUUUCUUUAUUGACAGUAAGAGUUUAAAUCAAAUGUGUGAGCAUAUCUAAGUAAUCUAUGAAGGCCCAAAUUUGUUUUUGCAUUCUUACUAUCUCCUCCAUAAUUUUGGAUCCUAUUAUUUCACUAGAAAAACUGUAAUAAUCUCAUUUGAAAUCUUGUCUUCUAAUUACUGGAUUCAGAGGCCAGCUUUGAUACUUAUUAGUUGAUUAACUUCAGUAAAUUACUUGAUUCUCUAUCUCCUCUUCUCUAUCAAUAGUGAUAUAAUAGCACCAAUUUCAUAUAGCUUUUGUGAGAAUAUAUUUGCAAAGCUCCUAAUGUAAUUCAUACUGUAUCAUAAAUUCUCAAUAAAUAUUAACUAGUCAGCCCUUGCUAUUAAUUGUAAAGGGAAGUCAUUACUAUUUUCAUGAAUAUUAUGGUUUACUUUUAUUCUCAAGCUACGAUUAAAUAAGAGUUUUUGUUUUUAUCUCUAGUUUAUGGGCCAACUUUUAGUAUAUGGAAGAAUUAUCACAUUGCAAAUGAAGCAGAUGAAAAGUUCCUCAAUGUAGUUGAUUCAGAUAUCUGCCUGAGACAACCACCUCCUGGCGAGCACCUCACUGUGGUACAGCUAGAUACAACCUACUUGACUCGCCCACUGACCCCCACCCUCCUCAUGGACUGCCUAGAUAUGCCACAGUGACCACCUCUCAGUCACAGCCUGACACCAUGAGCUUGUGCCUGCUCGCUCUAAACCCAUCUGUUAGAAGUCUCUGCAGGAAACCUGCUUGGGUAACACCUUGGGCCCCCAAAAAGGCUUUGGCCCACAGAUCCCACUCUCUCUCUGUUCCCCACCUGCUGGUUGAGUGUGUAUAUCCUGGACCACUCCUCACUUCCCAUUGGUCCCGGGAGGCCUGCUGCCUCUUCUGUGUCCCAACUGACCAACACACCGGAACCUAACUCUCCUCCUCCUAGAGAGUGGCUAUCUCUGUGGAAAUAAACUGGAUACAGGUC